UACGUAGGUGGCAAGCGUUAUCCGGAAUUAUUGGGCGUAAAGCGCGCGCAGGUGGUUUCUUAAGUCUGAUGUGAAAGCCCACGGCUCAACCGUGGAGGGUCAUUGGAAACUGUGAGACUUGAGUGCAGAAGAGGAAAGUGGAAUUCCAUGUGUAGCGGUGAAAUGCGUAGAGAUAUGGAGGAACACCAGUGGCGAAGGCGCCUUUCUGGUCUGUAACUGACACUGAGGCGCUAAAGCGCGGGGAGCAUACAGG
rnacentral:rRNA from 1 species